rnacentral:rRNA from 1 species
UACGUAGGGUGCAAGCGUUAAUCGGAAUUACUGGGCGUAAAGCGCGUGUAGGCGGCCCUGCAAGUCGGGUGUGAAAUCCCAUGGCUCAACUAUGGAAGUGCACUCGAAACUGCAGGGCUAGAGUCCUGGAGAGGAAGGUGGAAUGCUUGGUGUAGAGGUGAAAUUCGUAGAUAUCAAGCGGAACACCGGUGGCGAAGGCGGCCUUCUGGACAGUGACUGACGCUGAGACGCGAAAGCGUGGGGAGCAAACAGG